GACGAAACUGGGCAGAUUCUGUGGAAACCAAUUACCAAGAAGCCUGGUAUCAUCUGGACUCAAACUCUUCAUCGUGUUUCACUCGGAUUAUAGCGUGUCAGCACCGGGAUUUGUUCUGAACUAUUCAACACCAUUAGAUGUAAAUGAAUGUUACUUUGGAACACACAACUGCGCUAUUGGAGCGUCAUGUGUCAAUACGAAUGAAUCGUUUUACUGCAUUUGUGAAAACGGUUAUACCGGAGAUGGCGUAACCUGCACAGAUAUCAAUGAAUGUGAACUUGGAAUUGAUAACUGUCAUUCUCAAGCAUCAUGUCGCAA